rnacentral:rRNA from 1 species
CCUACGGGAGGCAGCAGUGAGGAAUAUUGGUCAAUGGACGAAAGUCUGAACCAGCCAAGCCGCGUGCAGGAUGACGGCCCUAUGAGUUGUAAACUUCUUUUGUAUGAGAAUAAAAUGUGCCACGUGUGGCGUUUUGUAUGUACCAUAUGAAUAAGGAUCGGCUAACUCCGUGCCAGCAGCCGCGGUAAUACGGAGGAUCCGAGCGUUAUCCGGAUUUAUUGGGUUUAAAGGGAGCGUAGGUGGAUUGUUAAGUCAGUUGUGAAAGUUUGCGGCUCAACCGUAAAAUUGCAGUUGAAACUGGCAGUCUUGAGUACAGUAGAGGUGGGCGGAAUUCGUGGUGUAGCGGUGAAAUGCUUAGAUAUCACGCAGAACUCCGAUUGCGAAGGCAGCUCACUGGACUGCAACUGACACUGAGGCUCGAAAGUGUGGGUAUCAAACAGGAUUAGAUACCCUUGUAGUC